rnacentral:rRNA from 1 species
AACAGCCAGAAAUGACUGCUAAUACCGCAUAAGCGCACAGAACCGCAUGGUUCCGUGUGAAAAACUCCGGUGGUAUAAGAUGGACCCGCGUUGGAUUAGCUAGUUGGCAGGGCAGCGGCCUACCAAGGCGACGAUCCAUAGCCGGCCUGAGAGGGUGAACGGCCACAUUGGGACUGAGACACGGCCCAGACUCCUACGGGAGGCAGCAGUGGGGAAUAUUGCACAAUGGGGGAAACCCUGAUGCAGCGACGCCGCGUGAAGGAAGAAGUAUCUCGGUAUGUAAACUUCUAUCAGCAGGGAAGAUUUUUUCGUUACCUGACUAAGAAGCCCCGGCUAACUACGUGCCAGCAGCCGCGCUAAUACGUAGGGGGCAAGCGUU